GACGAACGCUGGCGGCGUGCUUAACACAUGCAAGUCGUACGGUAAGGCCCUUUCGGUGGUACACGAGUGGCGAACGGGUGAGUAACACGUGAUUAACCUUCCCACUACUUUUGUAUAACGCUAGGAAACUGGUGCUACUACUGGCUAUGUGCUCCUCCUGCCUGCUGGGGGUUGGUAAGUUCCGGCGGUUGUGGAUGUACUCGCGGCCUAUCUGCUUGUUUGUGGGGUAGUGGACUACCAAGGCGGCGCCGGGUAGCCGGCCUGAGAGGGUGACCGGCGAAAUUGGGACUGAGAUACGGACCAGACUCCGACGGGAGGCAGCAGGGGGGAAUAUUGAACAAUGGGAGCAAGCCUGAUGCAGCAACGCCGCGGGCGGGAUGACGGCAUUCGGGUUGAAAACCGCAAACAGCAGGGACGAAGCGGUUUGUGACGGUACCUGCAGAAGAAGCACCGGCUAACUACGUG
rnacentral:rRNA from 1 species